CGGCGAAUAGCAAUAUUGGGAGUUAAA
rnacentral:piRNA from 1 species